ACUUACUCCCUAAUUUUGCACCAAAAUCCUCCUUCAAUGUCGAUCCGUCAACUAGGAAUAAUUUGUUCUUCCCUAGCAAUGCUACCUUCAUCCCACGACUCCACAAAGAAUAAUUCUCCAUUCCUGUCAAAAUCAGUCCCACCGACAUAGAUCCAGGAUGAAGAUAAAGUGAUGAUUGUGAUCCGUAACAGUCGUGCUUCCAGUUGCUCCAGCUCCAAAUCGAGCUCCAGUAUUCACAUUUACAGUCGAAUUCUCA
rnacentral:lncRNA from 1 species